rnacentral:rRNA from 1 species
CAGUAGCCACGGGAAUACGAAGGGUGCAAGCGUUACUCGGAAUUACUGGGCGUAAAGCGUGCGUAGGUGGUGGUUUAAGUCCGUUGUGAAAGCCCUGGGCUCAACCUGGGAAUUGCAGUGGAUACUGGGUCACUAGAGUGUGGUAGAGGAUAGUGGAAUUUCCGGUGUAGCAGUGAAAUGCGUAGAGAUCGGAAGGAACAUCUGUGGCGAAGGCGACUAUCUGGGCCAACACUGACACUGAGGCACGAAAGCGUGGGUAGCGAACAGGAUUAGAUACCCGUGUAGUCCCUGUCUCUUAUAU